UACGGAGGGGACUAGCGUUGUUCGGAAUUACUGGGCGUAAAGCGCACGUAGGCGGAUUUGUAAGUCAGGGGUGAAAUCCCGGGGCUCAACCUCGGAACUGCCUUUGAUACUGCAAAUCUCGAGUCCGGAAGAGGUGAGUGGAAUUCCUAGUGUAGAGGUGAAAUUCGUAGAUAUUAGGAAGAACACCAGUGGCGAAGGCGGCCCACUGGAUCGGUACUGACGCUGAGGUGCGAAAGCGUGGGGAGCAAACAGGG
rnacentral:rRNA from 1 species